rnacentral:lncRNA from 1 species
GCUGUACAGUUUGUGCUUCUUGGUCACUUGAUAUGGGAGUUUUUAUGUGGCUUAUAGUAUAUUUUUUUAAAUGGCUGAAAUUGAAUGCAUGCCUGCUGUGCUGCUGUUUGGAGAGAAGACAUUCUUCUGCAGUUCCCUUGAUUCUGGUAAGGUUCUGAAUCUUCAAAUUUAUAUAUCUGCUUCUAGAAAAGAAGAAAAAUCCAGUCACUAUGCCUAAUCAUAUGUUGGAACCAAUCUUUUUAUCAGGUAAGCUGAUGAUUUGAACCCUCCAAGUGAGCACAUUAACUUAUUUUGGAACAUUGUAUCAAACCUUAGCCAUAUGAACCACAAUUAAUGUAGAAGGUUUAGUUUGAAUAUUUCCCUCCUUGCUGAUUUUUUUUGAAACAUUAUUAGAAUUUAGUGACAAUCUUCAAUAUUUUGCCAUUUGAAAUGACGAAAGUUAGCCAAAUCAUAGUAUGGUGUGCUCCUCUAGACUUCCCUUCAUUGGUGUUGUUGAAAAUUCCUAUGAAGUUCCUGUGAAAUUCCUUCACUCCAAACAGGCACCAAUCACAUGAUUUGAACAAUGGAGUUGAGUUCAUCAUUGAUGAUAAAUAGUUGAGUUUGGUAGCUUGCUGACCAAUGUUUUUGGCAUCUUGCUUUUAUUUUGCUGUAUUAAGUUGAUUUAGUUUGAAUAUUUAUUAUUUUGCCUCCUUGCUGUUUAACUUUUCAAAACAUUUGAAUUUAGAGACAAUCUUAAGUAUUUUUCCAUUUGUGUUAUGUGGCUGCUAGAAGGAGGGCGCGAGAGGGCCGGCCGGGGGCCUUUUUGCCCACGUCCGGGCAAGAGGGAAGGGAUUUCCUUCUUAAUUCUUGCUUGAUUAGAUUGAUACAUCUCCUCCCCUUAUAUAUAGAGGUUUACUUGACUCCCCAGCAAGGCUUACUUGACCCCUAAGCAAGCGACCCUUGUCUCUAAUUAAUCCUAAGACUAACGGGCUAUACCGCCGGCCCAGGCCCAUUAGGCCCAUUACGUACUCUAACACUACACCCCACCUGGACAUGCAACUUGUCCUCGAGCUGCAACCUAACCAACUUAUAACCAUGACUCGACGCAACACAAACCUAACACCUAAAAACAAGCCUUUUACAUCUCGGCUUGUUUUAUUACUCUCAACCUGAAAUGGACUGGGACGCUUUAUUUUGGACCCCUGAACAUAAAGUGGACACCAUCCGCACGUCGGACGUGCACGUGUACAGCCACCUGGAUCCCAUGUACACCAUCUGGACAAAAGGAGUGCAUGUGUAUGGCCGCCUGGAAGUGGUCGCAAGAGCGACCAGCAGAGGCGCCCUCGCGGCGGCCGGCGGCGGAAUGUAGUGGUGCUACGCGGUGCGCUCCUGUCGGUGACACCAUGCCUUCUCCCCGCCGGACGGCUGUUGGUCUGCACCGCACAGAGAAGAGUGGAGGGCUUUCGAUGGAGAAUGAUGAGGGGUGCGCCCCCCAACCGCCGAUGUCGUAGACUUUGAGGUCGCUGCCCGUGGGGAAAACAGCAUGCCCGCCGCCCGUGGGGAAAACCGCAUGCCCAAGAUCCCCGACGCAGCGGACGAGAUCGAGGUCCUUUGCGUUGCGAAGCGCAAAUUGGAGGAGCGGCAGCUGCAGACCAUGCAUCUCCCGCACACGCCGACGUGCUAGGAGGCUGUGCGAUGCAGCCUGCAGCCUCACCGCCGCCGACACGUGGCGGGUAACGAUCCAAGCCGGAAGCGGUGACGGCGACGGCGGGAACUUGAUCUGCUGGAUGGGGACGCCCUGGGACGGCGGCGGUGCUGAUGGGAACGAGGUCAUCGCAGACCCGUCGUAGGGCAUCCCAUACUGGUACGAGAUGACCGACGCCGUGGUCGCGUCCGAGGCGGCGGCGGCGGGGGUAGCUGCUGUUGGUGUGGCGGCGGAGGAGGUGGCUGCUGGGGAUGCGGCUGGGGCGCAUAGGGCCCGACGAGGAAGGCCCUGAUGCCCGCCAUGGCCUGACGUAAUUCCAGGAUUGCGGCUGUCAUCUGCUCCGGGGUGAGGACGAGGGCGGACGGCGCCGGGGCAGAGGGUGCAAUCGCCCCUAAGGACGCCAGCACACCCAAUGCCGGCGCGCCUGCUGUGUGGGGCAGCAGCGCCGAUGAAGAUGCUGGCGGCUGCGGGUAGGUGUGCGGCGGCAGCGGGUGGGAAGAACUCGGUGGAGGGCUGGACAUGAUCGAAUCCGGGAAAGCUGAUACCAGAUUGUUAUGUGGCUGCUAGAAGGAGGGCGCGAGAGGGCCGGCCGGGGGCCUUUUUGCCCACGGCCGGGCAAGAGGGAAGGGAUUUCCUUCUUAAUUCUUGCUUGAUUAGAUUGAUACAUCUCCUCCCCUUAUAUAGAGAGGUUUACUUGACUCCCCAGCAAGGCUUACUUGACCCCUAAGCAAGCGACCCUUAUCUCUAAUUAACCCUAAGACUAACGGGCUAUACCGCCAGCCCAGGCCCAUUAGGCCCAUUACGUACUCUAACAAUUUGGAAUGUUGGAAGUUAGCCAGAUCAUAGUAUGAUAUGCUCCUCUAGACUUCUAUUCAUUGGUGUUUUUGUUGAAAAUUCCUGUGAAAAUUCUUGCAUUUGAAACAGGUGCCAAUCACAUGAUUUGAGGAAUGGAAUUGAAAUUUCAUCAUUGAUGUUAAAAAAUUGAGUUUGUUAGCUUGCUGUCCAAUGUUUUUGGCAUCUCGAUUUUUCUCUUGCCAUGUAAAGUUGAUGGUACACUUGCUGCUUAUGUUAGGGCCUCUCAAACAAUCGGUUCUGGCUCAUGAAAUAUGUUGAAGUGUGUUGUAUGUGUGGCCCAUGCGGCCCAGGCCCAUAUAAGCCAUGUGGCUGGCUGGCCUAGAGAAAAGAGAGAAGGGUAUCGAGCUGUCUGGUGAGAAGCGCAUGUGAAUAAAGUGUUUGUGACUUAUGAGAGCAAGGGAUUUUGCAUCAAACCUUAUGUCUGGACACUCCUACUUAGAAUGGACUGGCAGAAAGGAAGAAUCGACAUAUUUUGGAGGUUGCUUGAUCACUGAUGUUCAACAGUUAGGUGUGGCGGAGAUGCGCAUGUUGAGAUGGAUGUGUGGCCACACAAGGACCGAGUCCGGAAUGAUGAUAUACGGGAUAGAGUUGGGGUAGCGCCGAUUGAGGAGAAGCUUGUCCAACAUCGUCAAAGAUGGUUUGGGCAUAUUCAGGGCAGGCCUCCAGAAGUGCCGGUGCAUAGUGGAUUGCUAAAGCGUGCCGAUAAUGUCAAGAGAGUCCGGGGUAGAUCGAACUUGACAUGGGAGGAGUCCGUAAAGAGGGAUGUUUUUGUAGGGUGGAACCCUAAUGGAUGAUCUUUUCACACUUGGAGGGGAAAUGGGAAGAACAACAAGAGAAAUCACUCAAACAAAACCCAAUUACACAUCCACUAGAAUAGCAUAGCUGAGAUCCACAAGCAUACAAGAUCAAUCAAAGGAAAACAAGCACAAAGGUAAGUUCUUCUCAAAUCCAAGAGGAGAUGAGGUCUUGAUGAUCUAGAUAGAUCAUUCCCUAGAAGGGGUUUUGAUAUCCACUAGGGAUCUUCUCCUAUGGAUAGUCUCAUACACUUUGCUAACCCUAAUUCGGAGCUAGGAAACGAGUACUUAUAGUCCAAGGGGUAAGUUGGGGAUACAUGGGUCGAGGCCCCUUUCUCUGCGCACAGGCAGGCCAGUUGUACCGGUCACCUAGGCGAUUGUCCCGCUUGGAGCGGUUGUACCACUUUCCUGGAGGCGUGUGUUGAAGUGGAGACCGGUUGUACCGGUCGAGCUGGGGCUGUAGGAACAACCGGGAUGCUACCGGCCUUGAACCGCUCGAAAACACUAGGUUUGCUAGUUGGAGCGGUAGUUUGAGCGGUAGUGGACCAGUACUUGACCGGUGUUUCUGGGCUGGGCACAAUUCCUCUGCAUGUUCUGGGGGUCCAACUUGCUCCUUUCCUUUUCCUCGGCUGAUUCCUUGGUACCUAAGCACACAAAGUAUCUCUGUUUGAGGUAGUAGCCAUGUCUCAAGUGGGUCGAAGGGAAGUUCAACAAGGAGAGAGUUAACCUCGGUUUCGAUAGCUCUUGCACGGGCUCUUGUCAUCGGUCCACUUGGUGCUUGACGAGUCGGUGUGGUGUCCAUGGGGAUGACCGAAGGAUGAUCCGCAUCAUCUCCCCCUCCUUGGGAAAGAUCCGUCCUUGGAUCGUUAACUUCAUCACCAUGGUAGGGAGAUAUGUCCUUGACGUUGAAGAUGUCACUCACGUUGUACUUGUCGAGUGGAAUGUCGAUCUUGUAGGCAUUAUCAUUGUAGCGUGCUAGCACCUUGAGUUGGCCAGAUCUGACAAUUUUAUUGGCAGAAUAGGUGCUGCUCAUUGGUGACUGUUUUUCAUAAUUUAAAAAGUGCUUGGUUCUAGGUCUCAUGGUAUUGACAUUCAGAUUUUAGGCACAGUUGUUUGUCAGAACAAAAUAUUGCUCCCUUUGAGGAAUAUGAUGUGUACAUGAGUUACAUUACAAUGGUCACUGAGUGAGCUACAAAUUUAAAGCUUGUAGACAAAACAUGCCAGUAUCUGUCUAUAGUCUCAGUUCUUGCACACAGAGUUAAGUAUUGAGUUGAUUUGCUAUGCUAGGAUCCCCUUACUCGAAAAGAUGCUGCUUCUUAGAGUGGACGUGCCUUAUUUCUGUUACAUAUGAAUAGAUGGUUAUGCCAGCGGCUUCUGUUAGGACUACUAUUCAUUUAGCUCUGUCUAGUUGUGCACGAAACAACUAUCUGAUUCUGAAUCUAUCCUGCUGUACUAUUUCUAGACUUGCAGUGUUACUAAUGUUUAGAAAUAAUUCAUGCACUGCUUCCUGUUUGGUGCUGCCUUCAAACUGUUACUUUGUUAGUGCCUUCUUCCAUCGUAUACUGACUAUAUUUGUUCUUCCAGGGUGACCUACUGACCUUUGCUGGGAUUUUCCUGUGUUUGUUUGGCGGAGCAGCUGAUUAAUAGCUAUUCAGAGGAAGUAAUCGAUAGGUAGAGGCGUUGUGGUUCCUGUUUCUUCAGGUGCUUACUCUUCAUGCAGCUUACUUUUAUUAUGUCAAUGUCGUUACUUUUUAGCCCUUGCCUACUUACAUCUGUAGGUGUACUUAAGUCUAAUGGUGUUUUCUUUGGGUUCCUUUCCUAUCCUGUGUUGGUUGGGAUGUUUUCUGUUGUUGCUUGGUUACUGCAGGAUGUUUGUGUUCCACUCUUCAUAUGUCCACUCUUCAUAUGUCCACUCUUCAUACGUGAGGUAGCCGGCGAUGGUUCCAUACUCGAGGGGUGGAGAUUGAGGUUGCGGUUGUCCAGCAAGGAGCAAGCCUAAGAGGCUUUUCUUUUGGGUGUGCAUUUCGGCUGGCUCACGAUGCCCCUUCGAAGAG